CAGUCGCCGCGGGAAUACGGAGGAUCCGAGCGUUAUCCGGAAUUAUUGGGUUUAAAGGGUGCGUAGGCGGAUAGAUAAGUCAGUGGUGAAAGACGGUGGCUCAACCAUCGCAGUGCCGUUGAUACUGUUUAUCUUGAAUAUGGAUGAGGUAGGCGGAAUGUGGCAAGUAGCGGUGAAAUGCAUAGAUAUGCCACAGAACACCGAUUGCGAAGGCAGCUUACCAAGGCAAAAUUGACGCUGAGGCACGAAAGCGUGGGGAUCGAACAGGAUUAGAGACCCGCGUAGUCCCUGUCUCUUAUAC
rnacentral:rRNA from 1 species